GACGAACGCUGGCGGCAGGCCUAACACAUGCAAGUCGAGCGGAGCGGCGGACGGGUGAGUAAUGCCUGGGAAUCUGCCUGGUAGUGGGGGAUAACGUACGGAAGCGGGCGCUAAUACCGCAUACUAUCAGAUGAGCCCAGGUAGAAUUAGCUAGGUGGUGGGGUAAAGGCCUACCAAGGCGACGAUCCUUAACUGGUCUGAGAGGAUGAUCAGUCACACGGGAACUGAGACACGGUCCAGACUCCUACGUGAGGCAGCAGUGGGGAAUAUUGGCCAAUGGGCGAAAGCCUGAUCCAGCCAUGCCGCGUGUGUGAAGAAGGUCUUCGGAUUGUAAAGCACUUUAAGUUGGGAGGCGUUACCAACAGAAUAAGCACCGGCUAACUUCGUGCCAGCCGCCGCGGUAAUUC
rnacentral:rRNA from 1 species